rnacentral:rRNA from 1 species
UACGUAGGGGGCUAGCGUUGUCCGGAAUCAUUGGGCGUAAAGCGCGUGUAGGCGGUUCGGUAAGUCCGCUGUGAAAGUCGGGGGCUCAACCCUCGGAUGCCGGUGGAUACUGUCGGACUAGAGUACGGAAGAGGCGAGUGGAAUUCCUGGUGUAGCGGUGAAAUGCGCAGAUAUCAGGAGGAACACCUGCGGUGUAGACGGCUUACUGGACCAUAACUGACGCUGAGGCACGAAAGCGUGGGUAGCAAACAGG